AUACGGAGGAUGCAAGCGUUAUCCGGAUUUAUUGGGUUUAAAGGGUGCGUAGGCGGUUUGCUAAGCGGGAGGUGAAAUGCCGGCGCUCAACGUCGGAAGUGCCUCCCGAACUGGGGGGCUUGAAUGACUCUGCCGUGGGAGGAAUGUGUAGUGUAGCGGUGAAAUGCUUAGAGAUUACACAGAACACCGAUUGCGAAGGCAUCUCACGAAGGGUUGAUUGACGCUGAGGCACGAAAGCGUGGGGAUCAAACAGGAUUAGAUUCCCUGGUAGUCCACGCAGUAAACGAUGAUGGCUAACCGCUGGGCUUAUCAGUUCAGUGGCCAAGCGAAAGCGAUAAGCCAUCCACCUGGGGAGUACGACCGCAAGGUUGAAACUCAAAGGAAUUGACGGGG
rnacentral:rRNA from 1 species